rnacentral:rRNA from 1 species
CCAAUGCCCUUCGGGGCUCUUUGGUGAUUCAUGAUAACCUAACGGAUCGCAUGGCCUUGCGCCGGCGACGGUUCAUUCAAAUUUCUGCCCUAUCAACUUUCGAUGGUAAGGUAUUGGCUUACCAUGGUUUCAACGGGUAACGGGGAAUUAGGGUUCGAUUCCGGAGAGGGAGCCUGAGAAACGGCUACCACAUCCAAGGAAGGCAGCAGGCGCGCAAAUUACCCAAUCCCGACACGGGGAGGUAGUGACAAUAAAUACUGAUACAGGGCUCUUUUGGGUCUUGUAAUUGGAAUGAGUACAAUUUAAACCCCUUAACGAGGAACAAUUGGAGGGCAAGUCUGGUGCCAGCAGCCGCGGUAAUUCCAGCUCCAAUAGCGUAUAUUAAAGUUGUUGCAGUUAAAAAGCUCGUAGUUGAAACUUGGGUCUGGCUAGCGGGUCCGCCUCACCGCGUGCACUUGUCCGGCUGGACCUUUCCUUCUGGAGAACCUCAUGCCCUUCACUGGGUGUGUUGGGGAACCAGGACUUUUACUUUGAAAAAAUUAGAGUGUUCAAAGCAGGCCUUUGCUCGAAUACGUUAGCAUGGAAUAAUAGAAUAGGACGUGCGGUCCUAUUUUGUUGGUUUCUAGGAUCGCCGUAAUGAUUAAUAGGGAUAGUCGGGGGCAUCAGUAUUCAAUUGUCAGAGGUGAAAUUCUUGGAUUUAUUGAAGACUAACUACUGCGAAAGCAUUUGCCAAGGAUGUUUUCAUUAAUCAGUGAACGAAAGUUAGGGGAUCGAAGACGAUCAGAUACCGUCGUAGUCUUAACCGUAAACUAUGCCGACUAGGGAUCGGGCGAUGUUUCUAUCUUGACUCGCUCGGCACCUUACGAG